rnacentral:rRNA from 1 species
UGAACGCUGGCGGCGUGCCUAAUACAUGCAAGUCGAGCGAACGGACGAGAAGCUUGCUUCUCUGAUGUUAGCGGCGGACGGGUGAGUAACACGUGGAUAACCUACCUAUAAGACUGGGAUAACUUCGGGAAACCGGAGCUAAUACCGGAUGAUAUUUUGAACCGCAUGGUUCAAAGUGAAAGACGGUCUUGCUGUCACUUAUAGAUGGAUCCGCGCUGCAUUAGCUAGUUGGUAAGGUAACGGCUUACCAAGGCAACGAUGCAUAGCCGACCUGAGAGGGUGAUCGGCCACACUGGAACUGAGACACGGUCCAGACUCCUACGGGAGGCAGCAGUAGGGAAUCUUCCGCAAAGGGCGAAAGCCUGACGGAGCAACGCCGCGUGAGUGAUGAAGGUCUUCGGAUCGUAAAACUCUGUUAUUAGGGAAGAACAUAUGUGUAAGUAACUGUGCACAUCUUGACGGUACCUAAUCAGAAAGCCACGGCUAACUACGUG